GAUUGAACGCUGGCGGGAUGCUUUACAUGCAAGUCGGGCAGCACGGACUUCGGUCUGGUGGCGAGUGGCGAACGGGUGAGUAAUGUCGGAACGUGCUAUUGGCGGGGGAUUAACUACGCGAAAGCGUAGCUAAUACCAUACGCCCUUCGGAGGAAAGCGAGACCUUCGGGCCUGCGCACUAUUAGAGCGGCGAUAUCGGAUUAGCUAGUUGGUGGGGUAACGGCUCACCAAGGCAGCGAUCCGUAGCUGGUUUGAGAGGACGACCAGCCACACUGGGACUGAGGACACCGGCCCAGACUCCUACGGGAGGCAGCAGUGGGGAAUUUUGGACAAUGGGGAAACCCUGAUCCAGCCGCUCCCGCGUGUGCGAUGACCUUCAGGGUUGUAAGCCUUUUGGCAGGAAAGAAACGGCACGGGAUAAUACCCCGUGCAACUGACGGUCACCUGCAGAAUAAGCACCGGCUAACUACGUGCCAGCAGCCGCGGUAAUACGUAGGGUGCAAGCGUUAAUCGGAAUUACUGGGCGUAAAGCGUGCGCGAGCGGUUCGGAAAAGAAGAUGUGAAAUCCGAGCUUAACUUUGGAACUGCAUUUUUAACUACCGAGCUGAGUGUCGGAGGUGGAAUUCGCCGAUAUCAACGGUGAAAUGUCGAUAUGGAGGAACACCGAUGGCGAAGGCAACCUCCUGGGAUAGUUCCUGACGCUCAUGCACGAAAGCGUGGGGAGCAAACAGGAUUAGAUACCCUGGUAGUCCACGCCCUAAACGAUGUCAACCGCUGUUGGGCAUGGGCCUUGGUAGCGCAGCUAACGCGUGAAGUUGAUAGCGCCUGCGGGAAGUACGGUCGCAAGAUUAAAACUCAAAGGGGUGACGGGGACCCGCACAAGCGGUGGAUGAUGUGGAUUAAUUCGAUGCAGCAUGAAAAACCUUCACCUACCCUUGACAUGUCUGGAAUCGAAGAGAUUUUGGGAGUGCUCGCAAGAGAACCGGAACACAGGUGCUGCAUGGCUGUCGUCAGCUCGUGUCGUGAGAUGUUGGGUUAAAUUCCGCGGCAGGCGCAACCCUUGUCUUAGUUGCUACGAGGCACUCUAAUGAGACUGCCGGUGACAAACCGGAGGAAGGUGGGGAUGACGUCAGGAUGCUCAUGGCCCUUAUGGGUAGGGCUUCACGUCAUACAAUGGUCGGGACAGAGGGUCGCCAACCCGCGAGGGGGGAGCCAAUCCCAGAAACCCGAUCGUAGUCCGGAUCGCAGUCUGCAACUCGACUGCGUGAAGUCGAAAUCGCUAGUAAUCGCGGAUCAGCAUGUCGCGGUGAAUACGUUCCGGGUCUUGUACACACCGCCCACGUCACACCAUGGGAGUGGGUUUUACCAAGUAGUUAGCCUAACCGUAAGGAGGGCGAUUACCACGGUAGGAUUCAUGACUGAGGUGAAUCGUAGCUAAAGGUAG
rnacentral:rRNA from 1 species